GAUGAACGCUAGCGGCAGGCCUAACACAUGCAAGUCGAGGGGCAGCACAGGUAGCAAUACUGGGUGGCGACCGGCGGAUGGGUGCGUAACGCGUAUGCAACCUACCAUUGAUUGGGGCAUAGCCCGAAGAAAUUCGGAUUAAUACUCCAUAAUAUUCAUCAAAGGCAUCUUUUAUGAAUUAAAGCUUUUGCGAUCAAUGAUGGGCAUGCGUGACAUUAGUUAGUUGGUGAGGUAACGGCUCACCAAAACGAUGAUGUCUAGGGGUUCUGAGAGGAUUAUCCCCCACACUGGUACUGAGACACGGACCAGACUCCUACGGGAGGCAGCAGUGAGGAAUAUUGGUCAAUGGACGCAAGUCUGAGCCAGCCAUGCCGCGUGCAGGAUGACGGCCCUAUGGGUUGUAAACUGCUUUUCCACGGGAAGAACCCGUCCGACGUGUCGGAGACUGACGGUACCGUGGGAAUAAGCAUCGGCUAACUCCGUGCCG
rnacentral:rRNA from 1 species